AGAGUUUGAUCAUGGCUCAGGAUAAACGCUGGCGGCGUGCCUAACACAUGCAAGUCGAACGUCCUCUCUCUUUACGGAGAGGGAGGGAGUGGCGGACGGGUGAGUAACACAUGGGUGACCUGGCCUUUGGUGAGGGAUACCGGCGAGAAAUCGCCGACAAGCCCGCAUGAGGUCUCUUUCGUAGAGGAGAGAGAGCAAAG
rnacentral:rRNA from 1 species